CAUAUAAGGUAAAAGGCAGAGGGGUCUUUGCGGCCAGGGAGCAGCGGGCAAGGGGCUAAGGGGAGGGGGGCCCAGUGCCAGCUGUUUAAAAGUACCCCUGUGGCAGUGGCAGUGAGGGGUGCCAGAGGCCCAGUGAAGUUAGUUGAGAAGCAGUGAUACCUCCAACCAUCCCCCAAACGGGCUGGCCCACAUCUCCAGGCCACAAGGAGCCACACCUGGAUGGACCCCAAGAGAGGCAAGGGCACUGGCUGGUGGGAGCUACCCCUUUUCAACCCUCACGCUGACACAGCAAACACCCCAGAGAAGGGCCUCCUGAGGACCUGAGGAGGGCAGGCGGCGGGUUCCCUGGACACAGAACUGUGAGUGCCACCCCUCCCCACCCACUGGCACCCACAACCUCCCCUCCACACCCCGCUGGCAAUAAACUCCCCAUUCCAUCCUCAGAAUGACCAUGAACGCAGGCCUCAGAAUGGGAAGUGUUAACAAGGAAGGCCCUGUUGAUUGAUGGGCUGAGGACAAGUCAGGGCUGUUGGGUUGGGGUCGUAGGUGAAAAGAAAGGGGAACCAAGGAAGGGAAAACCCACCAGAAGCCAAGAAUCCACCCCCAUCCCAUGCUCCCUACAAACAGACAGACACAGAACCUGCAUGCUACCAAAACCGAAGGACUUGAGGGCGCUGUGGAGGAUGGUGGUCAUCUUCCCUGGAAAGGAGUAAAUGCGGUUGGAUUCUGAAAGAAGGUACAUGUGGGGCUGUCAGGUUGUCAGCCUCUGAGAACAGAAGCACUCUCAGGGCUUUGGGAGGGUCAGGUGUGCGCGCGGACUCACAGUGCUUGGAACACGGUGAAGCUCUAGAAACCCAAGCGGUUGUGUUCACCGUCCAUCACAUUCUUCCCACGCUUACAGUUGUUCGUGGAGCAGGCAGGGUUAGGGACCAGCUCCAUAAGACAGGUGGAGAAACUGAGGCCCAGGGUGGCGAAGGGACUACCACUCAGAGCCAUUCAGUCCCAAGUGCCCAGGGGGUUUCUGGCACAAGAUCUCACAAAGAUGAAAAAAGAGGAAGAUUUGGAAGUGAACAGGGGAGGCAAGACUCCGAGAAGGAGCUGACAAGCCAAAGACAGGGUGCCCCAGGCCUGGCUUAUAUAACACAGCACACCUGUUUACCUCCGCACACCGCACACGUGCGUGCAAACGUGAGCCCCAGCACAGCACACACACCUGGCCCUCAUUCACUAGCAAAUGAACCUUGGAGACUGGGUCCAAACAAAUUGGAUUAGGAGGGCUGCAGGCGCCUCCUCCCCCACGCCGUCGGCUCCGACACUGAGCAGGCCUGCAGAGCAGCCAGCUGCGGUCUCUCGGCCAAGCUGACAGGUCGGCCUCCUCAGUCCCCUCUCCCCACCCCCCCGGCCCCGGGAAGGGGGCCUGGGUCCCAAAGAAUGCCAUGAUGAUGGAUGGGCUGAGGGAGGUUCCAGGGCUAGCUCAAGAGCACACAGGAUGUUCGUGCUUAUGCGAGGCUCAUUUCUGAACAGUUUCCAGCAAACCAGCCCCACCUCCCUUGCCUCCCUCCCCUCCGGCAACCUCUCCCACGGUCACCCGGUCACUGCUGCCAGAGCCCAGACCCCGAGCAGAUCUACCCCCCAACUCUUGGUCCCACAGCUGGACUGAGCAGGAACUGGUCACUCAGGAGGCAAUGCCCUGGGGCUGAGACGCAGGCACUUCAGAAGGGAGAUGAAAUCAGCGAACUGAGACAACGCCACCAUAAAAGUGGCAUCUCUGUGCUUUCUCAUCCAUUGUUUUAUUUGAUCCUCAGAAUGUGUCAGGGAGUUAGGAGGUUGUGCCCAUAAUACAGACGUGACUACUGAGCUUCAUUCAUUCAGUGAUCCCAUGGCCCUCCUGUCCUGAGCCCUGAGUCUGCACCAGGCCCUAUGUGGAGUGCUAGGGAAUAACUUGCAGCAUCUGCCCGCAUGGCUUAAUGGAACAGUCACCUUUCGCCCAGAUCACUGGGCACUGGGAGCCCCCCGAUAUUCCUGGGGAGCAGCUCCAGCAGAAUCCCUUUUCCAUAUGGCAUGUGUGAGCAGUUGAAAUUAUCACCAAGAGAAGCCUUAGCAAUCAGCCCAUUCAGAACACAGAUCCUGAAGUCAGACAUCCCCAAGUUCAAAUCCUGCCUUGCUUUCCUUUUAACUGGAUGGCUGUGGUCUUAGUCUUUUGAAGCCUGUUUGCCCACCUGUAAGAUGGAAAAUACAGAAGCUCCCACCUUGUGAGACUGACUGUGAGGACUAAUUCUUAUUUUCCUUACGCUUAUUCGACACAGGGAGAAACAGGGGUCUGGAGAGUGCAGGGCUCGGCCAGGGUCACACUGGGGGUUAAGUCAUAACCAGGUGGAUCCCUGCCCCCUGCCCCCUGCCCCGCUUCACCCUAAGCAGCCCAGAGCCACAAUAGCUGGCCAGUUUGUGCAGGGUCCACAGGGACAUGUCCUGGGUCCUGCCCUCCUCCUUGAGCCCUGCCCAGCCUCUACAGCACCAGAGUCCCAGGUGACCAGCAGUGGCCCCCCGCCCGCAGAGACGGCGGAGGGUGGGGGCGCUUAGCAGCAGGCUCCCAGCCCAGAGCAGCCUGGCCAUAUAAGGGAAGGAGCCAGGAAGGUCUCCUCGCUCAGGCCUGGCGAGAAAAUCCAGACAGCCACUGUUUAUUUUCUCCUUCCCAGCCUCCCCAGAGCUUCCCAACAGAAGACACAGGCUGCCCCCCGGGGCCAAGCGACAUUUCCUGAAGACAGUGGGGAACAGGGAAGGAAAAACAGUCCAUCCUCUGGGAGUAGGAGGAUGUGAACAGCCAGCACCAGGUAAGAUUCUGCCAGGUAAGAUUGUGAGGCCACCUGUUCGACUGACUCUUUUGAUGGAAUGAGAAACAGGGAGACAGUAAGAAGUGCUUGUGAGAAGGGAUCACACUACUUGAGUCUCCCUAGUGGGACCCAUCUCCUGACUGGGGACCCAGAGCAAGGAGGGGCCUCUUGUGGGGUAAGUGGAACAGGAGAGCUAUAGACCCCCUUCUCAGUGAGACCUCAUUUGAAAGAGAAAUGGGGUCAAGGUCAGCUCUGUCUGCCUCCCAGCAAGGAUGCAAAACUCAAGGGAGGAGUUCCUGGAGCCAGACAGCCAGCAGAAUGACACCUUUCCUGCACUCCUGCACCUCUGCCCUCCUCCCAGUCCAGCUGCAGCACCUUCUUCUCCAGGAAGCCCUCCUAGCUCCCCCAGGGAGGAGGAACCUAAGCCCUCAGCAGUCCUCUCUGGGCUCUCUCUUAGGCCACUUGGGUCUGUCCCCUAUUCAACUCACCAAGGGCAUUUAUCCUUCCAUCUCAGCCUGACUGUGCUCCUCCAGGGUAAGGACCAUAUCAGAUGCAGGCCUGUCCCCUCGGCACAUAGAAGACACAAUUGGUUUGCUAAAUGGAUGUAUGAAAUGGUUAGACCCUGUCCUCGACCCUGACAGACUGGUAUAGUAGUCAGGGGAGGAGAUGUUCAGCACGGAGGUUAAAAGUCAUGAUCCUGAGGCGGCCGUUCUGAUAGGAACCCAAGCUGGGCUCCCAGCUCUGUGCCCUUAGAAAAUCCCCUUCUCACGGAACUUUGGGAUGCACAGGGAUUAGCACAAUGAAAACAUUCGAAACAUGACCGUUCUUUUUACCAUCAGCGUCACUAUGGUCUUUCUGGAGACAAAGGAACAGAACCAGGCAGCCUAUAGCCACAGAGGACACGGAAGCAAAUACCUUCCCCUGGUCAAAGGCCUCAACCUCUGGCCCUGCGUCAGAGUUUCCCACAGGAGCGUGGGACUGCCUCCCAUCCAUUUCCUGUCUCUACACCCAGGAGAGCUGCUAUCUUUGCAGCAAUCCUCUGAGCCCAAUGGGGUGUGCUGGAAAUAGCCGCCAAUUCCCCUAGUACAAGCAGGGCUGUGACCCUGGAACCGUCUCCUCCCCUUCCUGGCUCGCCAUGUGCAGUGAUAAGGCUCCCCCGACCACCGCACAGCUGUUCUGUAGAUUAAGCAUGGUGGGGUGGUUUUUCAAAUGGCAGGCACUCAGAUGCCACCCCCCUCUUUUUUUUUCAGAUGCCCCCUUUUUAAGUUUUGCCAUAUCUGCAAACAAUCAUAAGAUUUUAAAUUUUAAGGUGUCUUUUUUAAUACCUAAAUAUAAAUAGGAAACUAAACACUGUCCAUAAUUAGGAGAUAAUAAAGAUAAGAGAGACAGUAAAUAUGCAGCAGUGCUCUGGACUUGAGGGAGAUAAACAGGAGCCUGAAAAGUGUCAGAGACAGGAUAGCACCAAACUGAGGUUCUUUCCCCCACCCCGGGAAAACAGAAGGACUGGAAGCAAACUGACAGGGAACAGCCUGGGUCACUGUGUUUUCCAAAGUCAGUGCUCAGGCCACAUAUGCAGCAAAAUUGCGAGAAGCCAAAAGUGGUCAGGUGAAAGAGCUUUGGAAAGAGUCCCGCACCGAGGAAUGCAGGGGCCUGGCCUAUCAGCUGGCCUCCCAGCAGCAAAGGCUCACUUCUGGGGCACGACCCUCCCUGGCUUCUUACUGAAACCUCCACAUUGGCUAGGCCAGGCGUCUUCUCUUGCAGAGCGAGUGGGAGCAGUCCGAGAGUGGAGUAGACAGGCUGUGGGCUGUCCGGGACCCCCCAGGCUGGGUCCUGUUGUUGGAAUCACUCCCCAGCCAAAUGCAGUUUGGAAGAAGUUCCUACUCAUUAUUGAGGAAGGCAGUUCCUUGGGUGGGAAUACCUCAUAGAGGGGCUGACCUGCCCCAAGUAGCAGACCAAAGGAAAACACUCUGCUGUUUGGGGCCUGAUGUCAGAUUUCUGUCCGAGGCAUAAGAAAGUGGAAGUGAAAGUGAAGUCGCUCAGUCGUGUCCGACUCUUUAAGACCCCAUAGACUGUAGUCUACCAGGCUCCUCAAUCCAUGGAAUUUUCCAGGCAAGAGCACUGGAGUGGGUUGCCAUUUCCUUCUCCAGCAUCUUCCCAACCCAGGGAUCAAACCCAGGUUUCCCACAUUGAGGGCAGACACUUUACCCUCUGAGCCACCAGGGAGGCUAAUUUUUGAAGGAUGUGAGUGUUUUCCUGCUCUCUCCCAGCCCUGAGAAAAGGCUGCCAGCCCCCUCCGCCCUCCAGACAUCCCUGAAAGUACAUGUCAUCCAGCAUCAAGACCAUCACAAUGGUACAAGCAGUGCAAGAGGGCUGCCCUGAGAUCUUGGCGGGACAGGAGAAGGGGGUACAGGGCUCUAUCUGCUCACUCAGAGGUUCCCACCUAAGCCAGAUCUUAAGAGGAAAACGAAUGAUCUACAUGGCCAUUCAGUCAUCUACCAGCAGCACUCCCUGGGGUCCUUUACCACGUACAAAAGCCUCCACAAGGCCCGGGGAUCCCCACCACGAACAAACAUGGGUGCCGUCCUCAGGGAACUGGAGAUCUACCCCAAUCAGACCCAGAGGCAAAGAGCUCUGACACUGGAGAGAAUGCAGCUGAAGAACAUGAUUCAGUCACUCGGACAACACAUAUUAAGCAUCUACCAUCACAAAUGCAAUAAAGGAUGAGAAAGAGGGCAGAGAGGACUUCCUUGGUGGUUCAGUAGUGGAGAAGCUGCCCUGCAAAGCAGGGGACUCAGGUUCAAUCCCUGCUCAGGGAACUAAGAUCCCACAUCCCACCGAACAGCUGAGCUCUCAUGCCACAACUAGCGAGACCAUGUACCGCACGAAGACUCCAUGUGCCGAAACUAAGAUCUAAUGCCAGUCAAAUAAAUAAUUUUUUUAAAAAGGAAAGAGGAAAAAAUAAAUAAAUAAGAAAGAGGGCAAAGGAUGUGUGAGGAUGUGGACCAGGGAGUUCUGAUGUCUGAAAGUCAGAGAGGGCUUCACAGAAAAAGUGGCCAUUUAAGUAGAGACUCAUCCCACCAAGAGGAGACGGGCAGGGGAGUGAGGGGGAGUAACAUGGUUCCUAGGAGCCCCAAAGUGGUGGGCACAGGACUCCCUGGAGGAGUGGGAAAAGGGGGCAAGGGCCCAAGAGGAAUAUCCCAGCUGGGCCAGAUAGGGCAGGACUAUAGCCUUUUGUGAAGGUUUUAGAAUUCAGCCAGAGGGAGACCUUUCACCAUUUUAAGCCCAGGAGAAAUAUGGGCACAUUUGCAUUUUGAGAAAUCAUUCUGAGAGGAUGGCUGGGAAGGAUGGGUGGGAAGUCGGUGGGAGUAGAAGCAAGGGAAGCCAGGUAGGAGGCUGAAGCAAAUAUUUGAGGAUAUAAAGUACCAUGAAUGUGCCAUUUGGCUGGGAUACACCAAGCAUAAAGGUGAGGAGGUAUGGGGUCAAAAAGGUAGAACAUCACCCAGGGUGAGGGGUGAUGGGGCGUUAGAGGGUUCUUCUGGAAUGAUGAAAUGUUCUAAAAUUGAUUGUGGUGAUGCUUCUGCCACUCUGUGUUGUUGCAUUCUUGCUCGGUCGUAUCCGACUCUUUGUGAGCCCAUGGACUGUAGCCCGCCAGGCUCUCUUCCAUCCAUGGAAUUUUCCAGGCAAGAAUACUGGAGUGGGUUGCCAUUUCUUCCUCCAGUGGAUCUUCCCGACCCAGGGAUGAAACCCUCAUCUCCUGCAUCUCCUGCAGUGCAGGCAGAUUCCGUCCCACUGAGCCAUCCGGGAAGCCCAACUCACCAUUCUGUGACUGAACUAAAAAACCAUUUCAUUGUGUAAUUUGAAUAGAAGGAUUAUAUCUCAACAAAACUGUUUAAAAAGAAAAGGAAGGGUGAAGCUUGGUCCCAGAGGGCUCACAUGCCAGGCGGAGGACAGGAAGCACACCGGUGUAGCUGCAACAGCCUCCGGGGCAGGGGCUGGAGGGAGGAGCCGAGGCCCCUCUAAUGCCCCUUCUCCUGCCUAGGGUGGACUCCCUGCCAUCGACCCCUGGUGCAGAGCGGCAUGGCGUCCUGUCUCCCAGCCUGAGGUGCAGUGCUGCAUCUCUGGUCAGUUGGGAGUCUGAGAUGAAGCACUGUAGCUCGGGAAGGGAGAAGUUGUUCUGCAGCCGUCGCCAGAAGUGGUAAGUGGUAUGGUUCCUGUAGGCACCAGGAAGGAUGGGAGUGUUUCCAUUCUCCAGACUGUCCACUGAGGAAGUAUUGAACUUGAGUCCUAUCUGUGCCACUAUCUGCUUCAUGAUUCUGGGCAAGUCCUGACUCCUCUGUGCACCGCAGUUUGUUCAUCUGUGAUAUGAGGUUUUGGAGCAUUCGGUGGUAGCCAUUACGUAGUACCCUGACUCUGCUUUCUCCUGAGCCCCUGGCAGACACAGCUGAAUCAGUCAAGGCAUCCUUUCUUAAAGCAUUCAGAUGUGGCUUCAGAAUCCUCCUUAAUGCUAAGUCCUAGAGAGCUACUAUUGAUUCAAAGCUGAAACACUCAAAAAAAAAAAAAAAAGCUGAAACACUUCAUCAUUUGUGAACUGGUCAAUUCCUAAAAACUCUUUCAGACUAAAGACAAAGUCCUGGGCUCUGAGUCUAGCUCUUUACUCUUUGAGGUGUGGCCUAAACUAAUCCAGGCAUCUCCCAAAUAUCUGAUCCCUCUCAGGGGCUUCAGACUAGUCAGAAAUAGCAGAGGAAAACCACUGGGCUAAGCACAAUUUUAUUUAACCUUCCUACAAGCUUGGGAGGUGGAUUUUAUUGACCCAUUUUCCAGAUAAGAAAACCGAGGCUCAGGUAAGCAACUUGCCCAAGGUCACACAUAAAUUAUAUUGAGCUGGGCUUGGAACCUAAUCUGUCUGCCUUCAGAUUCAUGUUUUUACCCACUGCGUGUGACUUGGGAACCUGGGAUUGGGGGAGCAGGAGGAGAACAUAAUAAAUCCUAUUCUAGUCUUGUCCUUACAUCCUGGGUCAUUUUUAGCAAAGACAGACUGAGACAUUUUCCAAUAAUCCUAUAGACUUCUUUCCUCUUCUUCCCACCCCCCACCAUUGUAUUUAUCUCACCUUUCAAGUAGGUCCUAUACCAUCCCAUUUUAUAACUGGGGAAGACUGAGGUUAAAUGAGUUGCUGGAGGUCACCUGCAAGGAAGGUGCCAAACAGAGACUGGGAACCAGAACUGUCCAGGUGGUUUCAAGUAGAACCCUCCCUCUGGCUGGAGACUCAGGAAUACACACAAUCCAUGGCAACUGAAGAGGGGGGUGGGGUGUUACCAGAUGAUUUCUGGUCGACAACAUGGCCUCUGACUACAGGAAGGUACUUUCCAGGGCCAUUGAAGUUCCAGUCACUACCCCCUCCCCUGAAGCAAUCAUCCACAUCCCGCCAGACAUGGUGGCCGCACUGGCUUCUGCAGAUGGGGCUGGAUGCAGAAGAAAACUCCAGCUGGUCCUUAGGGAUAUGGCAGGGCCUUGGUGCUGAAGGCCACUAUCUCACCUUGUCCUCACGGUCCAGUUUUCCCAGGAAUCCCUUAGAUGCUAAGAUGGGGAUUCCUGGAAAUACUGUUCUUGAGGUCAUGGUUUAACAGCUGGAUUCGCCUCCUUCCCACCCCAAGUUGCCCCCGCGGGACUUGGGCUCAAGCACAUCAUGAGGCCACGUGGAAGGCCAUGAGCUGGAGGUAAGAGGACUUGAGGACUGUGUUCUUGACCUUUAAACUGCUUUUCUUUCCAUUUUGUCCAUUUCGCAACAUCCUGUGAGGCUGGAAUGGGAACUUCACCUCUGUCCUACUCUUGGGAAAUUUGUCCAGACACUCAGCUGAGCAGUGGUUGAACCAGGACGCCAUAAAGCUUGUGUCUCUUUCCACCUCCCCCAACCCCCAUCCCAGUUCCCAGCAUCCCAAGCAGUGGGGGGGGUGGGGUCACAAUAUCAAAUCCACAUUAGUGAUAAACAAAUAAAUAUAUGUGAAUUUAUUUUAAAAGUUCACUAGAUCAGUUAACGUAAACUAAAAAUCUGUAAGUUUUAGUUCGAUUUGGAGUAUCAGAAAAAUGUUAUAAUUUUUCAUUAAGGUAAAGACAAAAAAGCUCAGACUGCCCUCUUGUGGUGACGCCUGCCACAACCCUGGAGAACCCAGGAACACUGGGUUGUCCUACACACACACACACACACACACACUCCUUUUGAACCAGCUUAAGACCCAUCCAUCAUUUCAUUACCAAUGAUGUCUCCAUCACUUACAGUUUAAUGUUACUCACAUUACCUGGCUUUGUCCUCAAAACUCCUGAAGGUCAGUGAGAUGGUGAAGUGACGAGCCCCUGGUCACCCAGAUAGCAUUAGGCAGAGCGAGGAUCUGUUCCGAGUUCAGUGACUCAGCCAAAAGUAAAAACUACAAAAAUAAAAAAUAAAAGGAAGACAUCUGAAUAGGUGUAGAAAAUGCUGGCUGAAUGCUAGAGACCUGAUGUAGUCCAGGUGUUAAUACUAGAACUUUUCAAAAAAUCUUCCCAGUGCUUUUUAUGGAGUCUGUAGUGACAAGAGGUGCCAUGACCCCAGGAUCCUUACUUUGGGGUCUAGUAGCCAUGUUCCCAGGGACCAGGUGGCUCCCACUUAUGUAUCAGGCUGUCUCUCUUAACAGGCCAUGCUGCAGACAAUUUAUAAAGUAUCAGAUUCCCGUCUCUCUCCUCCUCAGACACUGGAGCUGGCCUGACCAUGAAGAAAUCUGAUUUGCUCCAAAUGAUAAUAAUAUCUUCCACUUACUGAGUAUUUGCAACUUACCAGGCACUGUGUUAAACACUUUCACAAGCAUUGUCCCAUUCAAUCCUCACAACAACUCCGUGAGAUAGGUUCUAUCACUUUUUCUACUUCACAGACGAGGCAGCCAAGGCACAGAGACGUUAAGAGACUUGUUUAAGAUCACACAGCUAACAAGUUGUAAGGCUGAGUCAAAUCAAGUCUGUGUUUAUACCCGUCACCUGCCCUUGCCCCCCUCUCUCCCCUUUGGCCUGGUCUGGCUGGUGGAGCUGUCUCCUGUGGCUUCCCCUGCGGCAGAUGGUAAAACAAGCCUUCAGGGAGACCCAAGCAGUCCCUCCUGUGUGCUGUGACAAUAAUAAAGUGGGAGACCCUUGACUGUGUCCUGUGUCUUCCUGGGAAUGUGAAAGGAGGGGAGGGGAGGUGAAGGCAGCCUAACAGCCUGUAUUAGUUCUCUAGGGCAUUCGUAACAACGUGCUACAGAAUGGGUGGCUUAAACAAUAGAAUGUUAUUUUAUCAUAGUUCUAGAGCCUGGAAGUCUAAGAGCAAGGUGUCAGUCAGCAGGGCUGGUGUCCUCCGAGGCCUCUCUGUCUUGUAGACAGCCAUGUUCUCCCUGUGUCUUCACUGUGCGUGUCAGUGUCUCAAUCUCCUCAGACAAGGACACCAGCCCUGUUGGAUUAGGGCCCACCCACAGGUCUCAUUUAACAGAAAUUAUUUCUUUAAAGACCUACCGCCAAAUAUAGUCAGAGUCUGAGGUACUGGGGGUUAAGGCUUCAUCAUGAACACAGUAGGGGGACACAAUCCAGCCCACAGCACAGCCCCAGUUGAGGUAACCCUAAAGUGACUUCACACUGCUGGACAUUUUCAGGGGCCAGCUACACAGCAACCAGGACCCACACCAGGAUAGUCAGAAGCUCUAGGAAGGUGCCAGGCUGUGUCUGAGAACACCCACCAAAGAGGGAGGGGAGGGGGAACGUCCUACAAGGUGAGGUCCCCUCAGGCGGGGGCCAAGGCACAGUCUGAGGAGCCAGGCUACACGGCAGCCUCUCCCCUUCAGUCCCAAAGGUGUGACUGACCAGGUGGAGGAGGCAAGACAGGCUCUGAAAUCACACCUCACACAGUGCCAGGAAUCAGAGUGAAUGUAACAUCAGCUGCACCACAGGCAUCAUGCCCAACUUUGUGGACAUUUUAAACACACUUCUCUACCUUUGGCACUGACCCUCUAAACUUCGAUACAUUCUGAGGGGGGAAAAAAUAAACAUGACUUCCUACCUGCAGAUUCCCAGAUGCCCAGGGCCUCCCCUCAACGCUCCUUUGAGCCCCAAAACAAGGCCUGCACGCCUGCGCCACACGGCAGAGGAGCCCGAGGUCCCACAAGGCCCAGGGCAGCAGCUGGGGAGCCACAGGGACGAGGAAGAGGCAGGACCGAGGGAGAGCUCCCCUGCUACCACCCAGCCGUCCACCACACCCCACGCCCCGAUGAGCUUUGGAGCGUCAGUCACUGGGGCCUCCUCCAAACUCACGGGGCUGGUCCUGCUGAAGUCCUUCUAGAACUUUCCCUCACACCCCUGGGGAAUUAUUGCUAAGAUGCGGCUUCCUGACUCCCACAGGCGGGUUCUGCUCUGUGGUUUGAGAUUUCCCAGGAGUGGAGGGUGGGAGCAACAACAAAUGUCCAGCAGAGGUGUGUCCUCUCCAUUUACCUCUGCGAGCCUUCUUGACUGGGUGCCCCUAUGCGCCUGCUGCUGGGGACACAGCAGUGAACGAGACAACAGAGAACUCCGACGUGUGAGGACUCGCUCACACACACACACACAGGUGUGAGGUCUCGUGCUCCUCUUCCAGAAUUUCAGCCUCGAGACCUCUUCUGAACAGAGCCAUAACGUGGUAACAGUCUCUCAAAUACGUCCCGACAUGCCCAGGCAAGCCAUGGGCCUCUGUCCUGUGGGGAGAAGGAACUGGCACCCCCUGACAAGCCUGGUGACAGAUCUUCCAGCAGUGAGGACCUGCUGCUGCUGCUGCUAAGUCACUUCAGUCGUGUCCGACUCUGCGACCCCAUAGACGGCAGCCCACCAGGCUCCCCCCGUCCCUGGGAUUCUCCAGGCAAGAAUACUGGAGUUGGUUGCCAUUUCCUUCUCCACUGCAUGAAAGUGAAAAGUGAAAGUGAAGUCUCUCAGUCGUUUCCGACUCUUAGCGACCCCAUGGACCGCAGCCUACCAGGCUCCGCAGUGAGGACCAGCACCUCCUUUUACUGACAGGGCAGCCAGGACCAGGUGCCUCCUGGGGGCGUGUCCAAGAAGGCGGCGUGACGCACGCAAAAAGGAGGCGGUGCCCUCUUGUGGCCCACCCUGGAAAGACAGGCUAACUUAGAAGGACUUUUUGUUAUUAUCAAUGACCAUUGUCUAACAUAAUUGCAUAGGAUUCUGCAUCUCAAAAGGGGGUUUCCCAGGUGACGCUAGUGGUCAAGAACCCGCCUACCAAUGCAGGAGACAAAAGACAUGUGUGUUUCAUUCCUGGGUGGGGAAGAUCCCCUGGAGGAGAGCAGGGCAAUCCCCUCCAAUAUUCUUGCCUGGAGAAUCCCAGGAACAGAGGAGCCUGGCGGGCUACAGUCCAUGCGGUCGUAAAGGGAGACACGACUGAAAUGACUUAGCACGUAUGCACACUGCAUCUCAAAACACUUCUCAUCUCGUGAUCUCCCUUGAUCCUUGUUUUAAGAAGGGCAUUCCAAAAUUGCUACAGGCUAAGGUCCGAGGAUGCUUUUUGGAGAAGGAAAUGGCAACCCACUCCAGUAUUCUUGCCUGGAGAAUCCCAUAGACAAAGGAGCCUGGUGGGCUACAGUCCUUGGGGUUGUAAAGAGCUGGACAUGACUGAGCGACUAACACAUGGUCCGAGGAUGCAGGCAAAGGAGAUGAAAAGGACUGCUCUGAUCCUGAGGGAUCCAGAGCCAGAAGCUGAGAGGCAGACAGUCAGUCUAGUCCAGGGAAGGUUGCACGCCUCCAGGAGUCCUAGGGGCCUGGCCAGCAGCCUGCGCAAGCCAAUCUCCUUGCUGUGAAAGGAGAGUGGCCAGAGAGGGGACUCAGGCCUGUCUGGGCAUUUCAGACCUAGACAGCCCCGCUCCAGGUCAUGGAAGCAGCAAAGUGAAAAUCAACCCAGGAGGGAAGGGAUAGGUCUGAAUUUGCUCCUUCUAUGUAAAAUAUGGGGAUGGCACCCAAAUGGCCUCACUUUGGGGACAUCAAGAGCCAUGUCAGUUGCACUCCAGGCUGUGGGAGCCUGGAAGGAACCAUAGCUAUAUUAAUUUAGAAACUGUCCCCCUUGCCUUAAUCCAUAUACCACUCUGAAGUUCCAAAACUGUUUCCUUUGUCUGCUCAUGCCACAAUUUCCGACAGAUGGGCAUGCACAUCAAUUUUCAUACCUCCAGUGACAAGGACCUCACCAUCUUACCAGCCAGGCUAUGUCCUUGAUCAGCAGGGAUUGUUAGGAGGUCCUUCUCUUGGAGUAAAAGCUCUGUCAUUUUUCCCUAGCUCCUUUGCUGCCCACAGAUGUGGACUAAAAAAGUUGCACAACUUGAGAGUUGUGAGUGAAGUUUUAUUUGGGGCAAAAUGAGGACUGCAGCCUGGGAGGCAGCAUCUCAGAUAGCUCUGAGAGACUGCUCCAAAGCGGCAGUGGGGGAAGGCCAAUAUACAAGGUUUUGGUGAAGGGGGAGUUCAAUACCAUGAAGUACUCAUUUUACAAAAGGUUUUUUUGUUAGUCAUAAGGAUCUGAUGUCACUAUGAAGGGAUUUAGUACUUCUCUAGAUAUGAGGAGAUGUAAGGAUUGAGAUCAUAAAAAUCUGUUCCUAAAAACAUUCAACUAUCGAAAGACCUGUCCCACCAGAUUCCCUGGAGCAGAGUGUCUCUCUCUACCCUCAACUCCCUCAGGGAUUGUUGAAGGUCAACAGUGGUAGCAGCAUGAGUUUCAAUCUCCUUAGAGGCAGAUGGCAAAUGCCUUUGUUGUUCAGUCCUUUGCGAUGCUCUUGGUAAGUGCCAAUUUGCAGUUGACACAGAGAUGUACAAACAGUGGCUCUGGCUUCUUUCCUGUCCCCCAAGAUAAACAUGCCCAGGGCUCCCAGUGGGCCUCUGAGACUGAAUUUAAGUUUGUUUCCCUGCCUGCACAAUCAAGACCCCUCCUUUGCGGUCAGGACGUCCUUUGAGAGCCUAAUACAAACGAUCAACCAUCUCCAAGAAAAUAGCAAUACUCACUACUUUAGAGAGUCCAUAGGCCCUUUCUUUAAUGCAUGGCAGUUUCCAGAAAGUGGUUGGCCUUUAGUACUAAUUUAUGUAUUCAACAAAUGUUUACAGAGAACCUAGCACAUGCCAAGCACAGUUUCUGGUGCCCAGGAUGGAAGGGUGAUUAAAACAAAUCUCAGCUCCAAGAAUUUACAAUCUGGAGCAGGAGAGAGACACAAACAAAUCAGCCACCACAUCUUUAAUUUUCUAUUGUGACAAAUUCAAGGAAGAAAAUGGAGAGUGCUACAAUGAGAAGUGGCAGGAUUAGGAGAGCUGUUUUAAAUUGGAAGGUCAGGGAGGGUCCUGGGGGGUGGGAUGGGGCUGACAUUUAAGUAGAGAUCAGAAGACAUUGGGAUGGAAGGGGGCGUGGUCAGGCAGGAGCAAGGAUGGGUGUCAAGACUCUGAGGCGAGGGACUUCUCUGAUGGUCCAAUGGCUGAGACUUCGCGAUCCCAAUGCGGGGGGCCCGGGUUCAAUCCCUGGUCAGGAAACUAGAUCCCACAAGCUACAACUAAGAGUUCGAAUUCUGCAACUAAAGAUCCGCAUGCCUCAAUGAAGAUUGAAC